rnacentral:rRNA from 1 species
CCCAGACUCCUACGGGAGGCAGCAGUGGGGAAUAUUGCACAAUGGGGGGAACCCUGAUGCAGCGACGCCGCGUGGGUGAAGGAGUACUUCGGUACGUAAAGCCCUAUCAGCAGGAAAGAAAAUGACGGUACCUGACUAAGAAGCCCCGGCUAACUACGUGCCAGCAGCCGCGGUAAUACGUAGGGGGCAAGCGUUAUCCGGAUUUACUGGGUGUAAAGGGAGCGUAGACGGCAGUGCAAGUCCGGAGUGAAAGCCCGGGGCUCAACCCUGGGACUGCUCUGGAAACUGUAAAGCUGGAGUGCGGGAGGGGCAGGCGGAAUUCCUGGUGUAGCGGUGAAAUGCGUAGAUAUCAGGAGGAACACCGGCGGCGAAGGCGGCCUGCUGGACCGUAACUGACGUUGAGGCUCGAAAGCGUGGGGAGCAAACAGGAUUAGAUACCCUGGUA